rnacentral:misc_RNA from 1 species
AGUGUUCUGCCCUGUCCUCCCAAUGUCCUAUAAAAGCAGGACCAUCUUCCCAAGCCAUGCCCCUCCUAUCAAUAAUAUUAUGACCAGUAUUAUUUCUACCUUUGGAUGCAUACCUGGAUGCGUAUGAAUAAUGUCCAUUAUCCAGGCCAACCAUCUGUGUCUGAAUAUAUUUUCUGCCCAAAUCACCAUCAUCAAAACCAUAUGACCUUUGACCCAAAGUACCCUUUAUCCCUUGGUAGGUUCCAUGAAAAGGACCAUUUAAAAGUUUUCCCUCAGCUCCAUCCACAGACUUUUUUGUAAGGUGCCGAAUAUUUCUUUUCCCUUUCAAUUGCCAUUUGGACACUGCCUCGUUAGCAAGAAAUGGAUCAUCAGGAUAAAGAUGGGACAUUUCACCAGAAAAUGCUAAUUCAUCAGCGUCCUCACUGCUUGUACUUCCAUGUUCUCCUGGUGCGUCAGGUUGUCUCAGGGCAUUCCGUUCAGCUUCCGUAGGCAUAGAAGUACCUGGAAAAACAGUCAUUUUUCCAGCCACAUCUGGUUCAGUCUCAGAAGAAUCAGACUCAGACUCAAAAGAGUCAGUUUCGGAAGAGUCAGAUUCAACAUUUUCCAUAAAACCAGAAGAAGAGUUCUGUUCGUUCAAGGAACUAUCAUGAGG